rnacentral:rRNA from 1 species
AGCGCAGGCGGGAAGACAAGUUGGAAGUGAAAACCAUGGGCUCAACCCAUGAAUUGCUUUCAAAACUGUUUUUCUUGAGUAGUGCAGAGGUAGAUGGAAUUCCCGGUGUAGCGGUGGAAUGCGUAGAUAUCGGGAGGAACACCAGUGGCGAAGGCGGUCUACUGGGCACCAACUGACGCUGAGGCUCGAAAGCGUGGGGAAGCAAACA